rnacentral:misc_RNA from 1 species
UUCGACUUAACAUACAAGGGUGACUAAUGUGACUAAAAAGCAGAGGAAUCUGCUUCUUCUUUUUUUAAUAAUAAGAAGAAAUACUUCUAUAUUAGCAAGUAGAAAUAAAAUGUGUAGAUAGCCAACUUCUCUUCAGGCAAGAGCAUCACCAUCACUCACCUCUGCGCUGCAUCCCAAGAAUCAAGACACCAACACUUAUAGUUGGAUCUUGAUAUCUCUAACAGCUCAUUAGGCGUCAUGUUCUCGUGUGCCAUGGAUUUCCAUGGAUCAGAGCUAAUGCUAAAGCUUAGAGCCGGUGAAUUUGAUGCCCUAAUAGUCCCUUCCAUUGGGUGGUCUUGUGAGCGGAUCUUCUUAUACAACCGCAUGACAGACACUGAAUCUUGGUAAGGAUCAUGGGAACCAACUUGGAUAUCAUAUCCUAGAUAAGUCUUGGUUAGAUAUUUCAGAGAGUGGCUGACAAAAUUGGUCUUCAUCAGGGGUCGAUAUGUUGCAGUAUCUCUCCAAAGAUGAUCAG